CACCACGUAUGGAGAGUGUUCCUUAGAGUUCGGUUCACGUGGCGGACAUGAAAAUGAUCCGGUUUCGUUGCCGCGCUCGACUUUCCAAAUCGGUCUCUCAGCAAUCUGAUCACUUCCAGCUUUGAAGAUUCGAAUAUGAUCCGUUCUAUACCGCUCCACCAUUCAGCUCCUCUUCAGCUUCCUCUCUUUGCAUCAUCCUGCACCGGAGCUGCUCAUUCCGUUCAGUUUCGAUUGAAGCCGCAAGGGAAGCGAGCUCCCGGAAGCAGCAGCAGCCAAGAGGUUUUUAGUGAGGCAAAGCAAGGAGGCGUCAAGAUUUGCACUGUAAGUGCAUUUGGUCGUCGUGAUCAAGAUCGUGUGCUGGAGCAAGAAGCCCCUGAAAAUUUGGACACUGGCCCGAUGUUGAAAAUAGUCCCAGGCCAAGCAUUUCCCUUAGGCGUUUCAGAAGUCGACAACGGGAUCAAUUUUGCCAUUUUCUCACAGCAUGCUACCGCUGUCACCAUUUGUUUAUCAUUUAAUGAGAGGAUUGAUGAUAGAACGCUGGAGUUCAAAUUGGACCCUGAUGACAAUAGAACUGGAGAUAUUUGGCAUAUUUGUAUCCAGGAUUUGCCUCGGAAAAAUGUCCUAUAUGGCUAUAGGAUUGAUGGUCCUCAAGGUUGGCAUCAUGGCCAUCGGUUUGAUGACAGCAUUGUGCUUCUAGAUCCUUACGCAAAGUUUGUUGAAGGUCGAAGAUACUUUGGGGGUGAAAAUAAGUCAUCUGGUUUUCUUGGGACCUAUGAUUUCGAUAGCUUGCCUUUUGAUUGGGGAGAUGACUAUAAGCUUCCUAAUAUACUAGAGAAAGAUCUUGUAAUAUAUGAAAUGAAUGUCCGUGCAUUCACAGCUGAUGAAUCUAGUGGCUUGGCUUCAAGCAUACGGGGCAGUUACCUGGGUGUUAUUGAAAAGAUUCCGCAUCUGCUAGAGCUCGGUGUCAAUGCAGUUGAAUUAUUGCCUGUCUUUGAGUUUGAUGAGUUAGAGUUCCAAAGGCAUCCAAACCCCAGGAAUCAUAUGAUCAAUACGUGGGGCUACUCCACAAUCAACUUUUUUGCGCCAAUGAGUCGAUAUGCUAGUGCUGGUGGUGGACCUCUUAAUGCUUCGCGGGAAUUUAAAGAAAUGGUUAAAGCCUUGCAUGGUGCUGGGAUAGAGGUCAUUUUGGAUGUUGUGUACAACCACACUAAUGAGGCUGAUGAUGUAUAUCCAUAUACCACUUCAUUUCGUGGCAUUGAUAAUAAGGUUUAUUACAUGUUGGACCUAAGGAAUAAUGGUCAAUUUUUGAACUUCUCUGGCUGUGGCAACACCUUAAACUGUAACCAUCCAGUGGUCAUGGAACUAAUUCUUGACAGCUUAAGGCACUGGGUGGUCGAAUAUCACGUAGAUGGUUUUAGAUUUGAUCUUGCUAGUGUUCUUUGCCGGGGACCAGAUGGUGCUCCACUUAGUGCUCCCCCACUCAUAAGGGCAAUAUCAAAAGAUGAUAUCCUAUCAAGGUGUAAAAUAAUUGCAGAACCAUGGGAUUGUGGAGGUCUUUAUCUUGUUGGUAGAUUUCCAAAUUGGGAUCGGUGGGCUGAAUGGAAUGGAAUAUACCGUGACGACAUUAGAAAAUUUAUCAAGGGCGACUGUGGCAUGAAGGGAAGCUUUGCAACUCGAGUUUCUGGGUCUUCUGAUCUUUACAAAGUGAAUAACCGUAAGCCUUUUCAUGGUAUUAACUUUGUUAUUGCUCAUGAUGGAUUUACACUUCGUGAUCUAGUUUCUUACAAUGUCAAGCACAAUAAUGCCAAUGGAGAAGGUGGAAAUGAUGGAUGCAAUGAUAACUUCAGCUGGAAUUGUGGUUUUGAAGGAGAAACGGAAGAUGCAAAUAUUAGAGCUUUGCGCUCAAGGCAAAUGAAAAACUUCCAUUUGGCACUAAUGACAUCUCAGGGAACACCAAUGAUGUUAAUGGGGGAUGAGUACGGGCAUACUCGUUAUGGAAAUAACAAUAGCUAUGGACAUGAUACAGCUCUUAACCAUUUUCUUUGGGGACAGUUAGAGGCACGGAAGAGGGAUCACUUCAGAUUUUUCUCUGAAGUGAUAAAGUUUAGAAGGAAGCAUCCCCAUUUAUUCAGUCGGGAAAAUUUUCUCGGCGAGAAUGACAUAACUUGGCAUGAAAGCAAUUGGGAUAAUCCUGAAAGUAAAUUUCUUGCCUACACGCUUCAUGAUGGUAAUGGAGAAGACGUUUACUUGGCAUUCAAUGCUCAUGAUUAUUUUGUCAGUGUUUCAUUACCCUCUCCUCCAACAAAGCGAAAAUGGUUUCGUGUGGUGGACACCAAUCUGGAGUCUCCUCAAGACUUUGUAUUGGAUGGCAUUCGGGGCAUUGGAAGCACCUAUAAUUUGGCUCCCUAUUCCUCAAUUCUUCUGAAAGCCAAGUUAGAAAAUGAACUUCUUUGAUACUAACUCUAUAAUUAAUCAAACCAUUAUUAGGCAGAUGAAUCAAGUCCUGUACAACAUGACAAUCGAAGUAUCGUGGAAGAAAUAAAUUAUGCAAUCUAAUGGAGGACGUGUAGAGCUAUCCUCGGCAUGGAAUUCAGUGGUUCAAGAACAAGGAGGAAGUGGGACGAUCUCAAGAAUAUUUUUGUGCAUUAAUGGUGGGACAAUUGUGUGGGUAAAUGAUCAAAUUCUUUGCCCCAAAAUCCCACUGUUCCUUCUUCACUCAACAUCAUAUAUUUGGGAACAAUUCUUCUUGGUAAUUUCAAUUUUACUGUUUAAAUA